AUUGAACGCUGGCGGCAUGCCUUACACAUGCAAGUCGAACGGCAGCACGGGGCAACCUGGUGGCGAGUGGCGAACGGGUGAGUAAUGCAUCGGAACGUACCUUUCAGUGGGGGAUAACGUAGCGAAAGUUACGCUAAUACCGCAUAUUCUGUGAGCAGGAAAGCAGGGGAUCGCAAGACCUUGCGCUGAUUGAGCGGCCGAUGUCAGAUUAGCUAGUUGGUGAGGUAAAGGCUCACCAAGGCGACGAUCUGUAGCGGGUCUGAGAGGAUGAUUCGGCACACUGGAGCUGAGACACGGUCCAGACUCCUAAGGGAGGCAGCAGUGGGGAAUUUUGUACAAUGGGGGCAACCCUGAUCCGUCCAUGCCGCGUGAGUGAAGAAGGCCUUCGGGUUGUAAAGCUCUUUCGGCCGGGAAGAAAUCGCACAGGCUAAUACCUUGUGUGGAUGACGGUACCGGAAUAAGAAGCACCGGCUAACUACGUGCCAGCCGCCGCCGUAAUAC
rnacentral:rRNA from 1 species